UACGUAGGGUGCAAGCGUUACUCGGAAUUACUGGGCGUAAAGCGUGCGCAGGCGGUUGUGUAAGUCAGAUGUGAAAUCCCCGGGCUCAACCUGGGAAUUGCAUUUGAGACUGCACGGCUAGAGUGUGUCAGAGGGGGGUAGAAUUCCACGUGUAGCAGUGAAAUGCGUAGAUAUGUGGAGGAAUACCGAUGGCGAAGGCAGCCCCCUGGGAUAACACUGACGCUCAUGCACGAAAGCGUGGGGAGCAAACAGG
rnacentral:rRNA from 1 species